AGAACGAACGCUGGCGGCGUGCCUAACACAUGCAAGUCCAACGUGAAAGGGGGAGCAAUCCCCCCGGUAGGGGUGGCAAAACGGGUGAGUAAUGCGUAGGAAUCUACCCACGAGUGGGGGAUAGCCCGGAGAAAAUCUGGAUUUAAUACCGCAUAUGCCCUACGGGGUAAAGCGGGGGAGUCGUAAGACCUCGCGCUGGUGGAUGAGCCUACGUCCCGAUUAGUUAGUUGGUGGGGUAACGGCCGUACCAAGGCGACGACGGGUUAGUCUGGUCUGAGAGGAUGAUCUAGGCCACGACUGGGACUGAGACACGGCCCAGAAC
rnacentral:rRNA from 1 species